ensembl:snRNA U2 U2 spliceosomal RNA
AUCACUUCUUGGCCCUUUAGCUAAGAUCAAGUGUAGUACCUGUUUUUAUUAGUUUAAUAUCUGAUAUGUUCUCUAUGUGAGGACAAUAUAUUAAAUGGAUUUUUGGACUUGGAAGAAGGACCACGCACCAACCUGGUAUUGCAGUACCUACAGGAAUGGUGCACCCCUG